UGGGGAAUUUUGGACAAUGGGCGCAAGCCUGAUCCAGCAAUGCCGCGUGCAGGAAGAAGGCCUCGGUUGUAACUAGCUUUGUUACGGAACGAAACGGUACUGAGUUAAUACCUCGGGCGUAAUGACGGUACCGUAAGAAUAAGCACCGGCUAACUACGUGCCAGCAGCCGCGGUAAUACGUAGGGUGCAAGCGUUAAUCGGAAUUACUGGGCGUAAAGCGUGCGCAGGCGGUUAUGUAAGACAGAGGUGAAAUCCCCGGGCUCAACCUGGGAACUGCCUUUGUGACUGCAUAGCUAGAGUACGGUAGAGGGGGAUUGAAUUCCGCGUGUAGCAGUGAAAUGCGUAGAUAUGCGGAGGAACACCGAUGGCGAAGGCAAUCCCCUGGACCUGUACUGACGCUCAUGCACGAAAAGCGUGGGGAGCAAACAGGAUUAGAUACCCU
rnacentral:rRNA from 1 species